rnacentral:rRNA from 1 species
AUUGAACGCUGGCGGCAUGCUUUGCACAUGCAAGUCGAACGGUAACAGGUUAAGCUGACGAGUGGCGAACGGGUGAGUAAUGCAUCGGAACGUGCCCGGUCGUGGGGGAUAACGCAGCGAAAGCUGCGCUAAUACCGCACACGAUCUGAGGAUGAAAGCGGGGGACCGUAAGGCCUCGCGCGAUCGGAGCGGCCGAUGUCAGAUUAGGUAGUUGGUGGGGUAAAGGCCCACCAAGCCAACGAUCUGUAGCUGGUCUGAGAGGACGACCAGCCACACUGGGACUGAGGCACGGCCCAGAAUCCUGCGGGAGGCAGCAGUGGGGAAUUUUGAACAAUGGGCGAAAGCCUGAUCCAGCAAUGCCGCGUGCAGGAAGAAGGCCUUCGGGUUGUAAACUGCUUUUGUACGGAGCGAAAAGGUCUCCUCUAAUACAGGGGGCUCAUGACGGUACCGUAAGAAUAAGCACCGGCUAACUACGUGCCAGCCGCCGCAGUAA